rnacentral:rRNA from 1 species
AGUGAACGCUGGCGGCGGGCUUAACACAUGCAAGUCGAACAGCAGCGCAGUAACUUGCUGCUCUUACGGGUGGGGAGACGGGGACGGGAGAGGUGGGUAAACGGACCUACAUUUCGGGGGGGGCUUAGGUAACUGGGCCUACGCUCGUACAGCAUGAUACCUACGGUUCAAUUCAGGGGAUUUUCGGCCCUUUCGGGUUUGAUUGCGUCGUUGCCGCAUUCGCUAGGUGGCUGGGUAAAGGACCACCAAGGCGACCAUCCGUAGCUGGUCUGCGAGGAUGAUCGGCCGCACUGGAACUGAGACACGGACCAUACUCCUACGGGAGGCAGCAGUGGGGAAUAUUGGGCAAUGGGCGCAAGCCUGACACAGCCAUGCCGCGUGAGUGAAGAAGGCCUUCGGGUUGUAAAGCCCUUUUGUUGGGAAAGAACAGCAGUAGCUUAAGACCCCGCUGUUCUGACGGUACCUAAAGAAUAAGCACCGGCUAACUACGUG